rnacentral:rRNA from 1 species
AUGCAGUCGAGCGGUAGCACAGAGAGCUUGCUCUCGGGUGACGAGCGGCGGACGGGUGAGUAAUGUCUGGGAAACUGCCUGAUGGAGGGGGAUAACUACUGGAAACGGUAGCUAAUACCGCAUAACGUCGCAAGACCAAAGUGGGGGACCUUCGGGCCUCAUGCCAUCAGAUGUGCCCAGAUGGGAUUAGCUNGUAGGUGGGGUAACGGCUCACCUAGGCGACGAUCCCUAGCUGGUCUGAGAGGAUGACCAGCCACACUGGAACUGAGACACGGUCCAGACUCCUACGGGAGGCAGCAGUGGGGAAUAUUGCACAAUGGGCGCAAGCCUGAUGCAGCCAUGCCGCGUGUGUGAAGAAGGCCUUCGGGUUGUAAAGCACUUUCAGCGGGGAGGAAGGCGNUNAGGUUAAUAACCUNNUCGAUUGACGUUACCCGCAGAAGAAGCACCGGCUAACUCCGUGCCAGCAGCCGCGGUAAUACGGAGGGUGCAAGCGUUAAUCGGAAUUACUGGGCGUAAAGCGCACGCAGGCGGUCUGUCAAGUCGGAUGUGAAAUCCCCGGGCUCAACCUGGGAACUGCAUUCGAAACUGGCAGGCUAGAGUCUUGUAGAGGGGGGUAGAAUUCCAGGUGUAGCGGUGAAAUGCGUAGAGAUCUGGAGGAAUACCGGUGGCGAAGGCGGCCCCCUGGACAAAGACUGACGCUCAGGUGCGAAAGCGUGGGGAGCAAACAGGAUUAGAUACCCUGGUAGUCCACGCUGUAAACGAUGUCGAUUUGGAGGUUGUGCCCUUGAGGCGUGGCUUCCGGAGCUAACGCGUUAAAUCGACCGCCUGGGGAGUACGGCCGCAAGGUUAAAACUCAAAUGAAUUGACGGGGGCCCGCACAAGCGGUGGAGCAUGUGGUUUAAUUCGAUGCAACGCGAAGAACCUUACCUGGUCUUGACAUCCACAGAACUUUCCAGAGAUGGAUUGGUGCCUUCGGGAACUGUGAGACAGGUGCUGCAUGGCUGUCGUCAGCUCGUGUUGUGAAAUGUUGGGUUAAGUCCCGCAACGAGCGCAACCCUUAUCCUUUGUUGCCAGCGGUNNGGCCGGGAACUCAAAGGAGACUGCCAGUGAUAAACUGGAGGAAGGUGGGGAUGACGUCAAGUCAUCAUGGCCCUUACGACCAGGGCUACACACGUGCUACAAUGGCAUAUACAAAGAGAAGCGACCUCGCGAGAGCAAGCGGACCUCAUAAAGUAUGUCGUAGUCCGGAUUGGAGUCUGCAACUCGACUCCAUGAAGUCGGAAUCGCUAGUAAUCGUAGAUCAGAAUGCUACGGUGAAUACGUUCCCGGGCCUUGUACACACCGCCCGUCACACCAUGGGAGUGGGUUGCAAAAGAAGUAGGUAGCUUAAC